rnacentral:tRNA from 1 species
CCCUGGUUAGCUCAGUUGGUAGAGCCCCCCACUUGUAAAGGAGAGGUCCCGGGUUCGAUACCCGGACCAGGCG